CUUUGAUACCAAUUUGUAGAUGUUGUCAAUUGUAUGGUCAAGAGGAUGUCACACGUUGCAUGUGAAAGGAUGGUGAGAUGAUGAAGAUGAAAAGAUGAAUUAGGAGAAGCUAUACAAGAAGAUUUUUAAAGUGGCUCGGUUUAAUAAAAACCUACAUCCACUGUGCUUUGGGAGCAAAAAAUUAUUAUUCACUACUCUUCUUUCUAAUUGAUACAAGGUAUAUAUAACUUCUACUCUUAAACUCUAAUUUAAAGAAGUAGUUAAAAGAAUUUAUUCUAACAAAUUUUAUCUAGAUUUCUUUUACAAAAAUGAACUAAUUAGAUGGAGUUUCCACACGUCUUCUACUCAAGUUCCUCUUGAUCCUUUUACAAGACUUCUAAUUUGGUUUUAGUCUCAGAACAUUUGUCCCAACACAAUUAUACAUUGAAUUAUAGAGUUGUUGGCAUUUAUUGAAAUUAAAAUUCACUGCAUAAAAUUUGAGAACUUUAGAUAAUGUAAUCAUUGAUCAAAUGAAAACCAAAGUUUUCAUAUCAAUGCUACACGUUGAGUUGCUAUCUUGCUAACUUUAGUGAUAAAUUUAAUUUAAAGUUUUCUUGAGUUUGAAAACAAUUAAGCUAAAAGCAAAUUAUAUCGACCUCAUUUGGUAACAAUUUGGUUUUUUAGUUUUUUUUU